UGCGCAGGUGGCCAAGUGUGUCAGGUGUGAAAUCCCGGGGCUUAACUCCGGAACUGCGCCUGAAACUGCUUGGCUAGAGCAUUGGAGAGGGUAGUGGAAUUCACGGUGUAGCAGUGAAAUGCGUAGAUAUCGUGAGGAACACCAGAGGCGAAGGCGACUACCUGGACAAUUGCUGACACUCAGGCACGAAAGCGUGGGAGCCAAAG
rnacentral:rRNA from 1 species